UUCAGCUCUGAUGAAGUCCGAAACGUUC
rnacentral:piRNA from 1 species